UCCGUGAUAGCUCAGUUGGUAAAGAAUCUGCCUGCAAUGCAGGAGACCCUGGUUUGAUUCCUGGGUCGGGAA
rnacentral:tRNA from 1 species